GGCUUAUUGAAUAUAAUUUUAGGUCUGACCUGCCCUAUGAAAUGUUAAAUGGCUGCAGUAUAUUGACUGUACAAAGGUAGCAUAAUCAUUUGUUUUUUAAUUGAAAGCUAGAAUGAAAGGUUUGAUGAGAAAAUUUCUGUCUCUGUGAAAAUUUAUUAGAAUUUUAUUUUUAAGUGAAAAAGCUUAAAUUUAUGUAGAAGACGAGAAGACCCUAUAGAGUUUAAUAUUUUUUAAGAAAUAAUCUUUAUUUAGGGUAUAGAAUUAUUUUUUUUUAGAAAUUAUUUUAUUGGGGUGAUAGAAAAAUUUGUUAAACUUUUUAUUAUUGAAAUAUUAAUAUUUAAAUAGGUGAUCCCUAGUUUUGUUAGGAUUAAAAGAUUGAAUUACCUUAGGGAUAACAGCGUUAUUUUUUUUAGAGUUCUUAUCGAAGAAAAAGAUUGCGACCUCGAUGUUGGAUUAAAAUUUAUUAUUGGUGAAGAAGCUAAUAAAUUAGGUCUGUUCGACCUUUAAAAUUUUACAUGAUCUGAGUUUAAACCGGUGUGAG
rnacentral:rRNA from 1 species